rnacentral:rRNA from 1 species
AUUGAACGCUGGCGGCAUGCCUUACACAUGCAAGUCGAACGGUAACAGGUUAAGCUGACGAGUGGCGACCGGGUGAGUAAUGUAUCGGAACGUGCCCAGUCGUGUGGCUAAAUGCCUGGAAUAACUUCGAAAAACCGAAACUACCCGCGGGUGAAAUUUGGGGCAGCCAAGAUCCCCAGUGAAUGGAGGUGUCGCUAUCAGAUUAGGUAGGUGGUGAGGUAAAGGCGCACCAAGGCGACGAACCGUAGCCGGUCUGAGAGGACGACCAGCCACACUGGGACUGAGACACGGCCCAGACUCCUACGGGAGGCAGCAGUGGGGAAUUUUGGACAAUGGGCGCAAGCCUGAUCGAGCAAUGCCGCGUGAGGGAAGAAGGCCUUCGGGUUGUAAACCGCUUUUGUCAGGGAAGAAAAGGUUCUGGCUAAUACCUGGGACUCAUGACGGUACCUGAAGAAUAAGCACCGGCUAACUACGUG